rnacentral:rRNA from 1 species
GUACACUCCUACGGGAGGCAGCAGUGGGGAAUAUUGGACAAUGGGCGCAAGCCUGAUCCAGCCAUGCCGCGUGAGUGAUGAAGGCCCUAGGGUUGUAAAGCUCUUUCACCGGUGAAGAUAAUGACGGUAACCGGAGAAGAAGCCCCGGCUAACUUCGUGCCAGCAGCCGCGGUAAUACGAAGGGGGCUAGCGUUGUUCGGAUUUACUGGGCGUAAAGCGCACGUAGGCGGACUAUUAAGUCAGGGGUGAAAUCCCGGGGCUCAACCCCGGAACUGCCUUUGAUACUGGUAGUCUUGAGUUCGAGAGAGGUGAGUGGAAUUCCGAGUGUAGAGGUGAAAUUCGUAGAUAUUCGGAGGAACACCAGUGGCGAAGGCGGCUCACUGGCUCGAUACUGACGCUGAGGUGCGAAAGCGUGGGGAGCAAACAGGAUUAGAAACCCGGGUAGUCCC